GGUUACAUAUCGAUGAAUUCUGAUGUCCGAUUACCCAUCGAUUUGGACUCAAUAUUUAUGAGAGGUUUAAUUAAUGAUUUGAUCGCUAAUUAACUCAAUUUGAUUGAGUAAUUAUUUUUGGAUCAAGUCCAAUUGAAUUGGAUUCAGUUGGGUUUGACCCGAUUAGGUUAAGAGUUGACCUAAUCGUCGAGAUGGUUUGGUCCCUGAUUUGAUUAGGGGUUGGGCUUAAUCAAUUCCUGAUUUGAUUAGGAUUUUAUUGAGCCUAAU
rnacentral:lncRNA from 1 species